rnacentral:rRNA from 1 species
UUACAAGCUGUGGAAGCACAUUUCUUGUGUGACCGCGUACUUUUUGUAGAACGGGCCAACGAGUUACGUUAAGUAGCAAGGUUAAGCACUUAAGGUGCGGAGCCGUAGCGAAAGCGAGUUUUAACUGAGCGUUCAGUUACUGGACGUAGACCCGAAACCGGGCGACCUACCCAUGAGCAGGAUGAAGCGAAAGUAAAAUUUCGUGGAGGUCCGAACCCACGAGCGUUGAAAAGCUCGGGGAUGACUUGUGGGUAGCGGUGAAAUUCCAAUCGAGCCCGGAGAUAGCUGGUUCUCCCCGAAAUAGCUUUAGGGCUAGCCUCAAGGUGAG